GAUGAACGCUGGCGGCGUGCCUAAUACAUGCAAGUCGAGCGAAUGGAUUAAGAGCUUGCUCUUAUGAAGUUAGCGGCGGACGGGUGAGUAACACGUGGGUAACCUGCCCAUAAGACUGGGAUAACUCCGGGAAACCGGGGCUAAUACCGGAUAACAUUUUGAACCGCAUGGUUCGGAAUUGAAAGGCGGCUUCGGCUGUCACUUAUGGAUGGACCCGCGUCGCAUUAGCUAGUUGGUGAGGUAACGGCUCACCAAGGCAACGAUGCGUAGCCGACCUGAGAGGGUGCUCGGCCAAACUGGGACUGAGACACGGCCCAGACUCCUACGGGAGGCAGCGGUAGGGAAUCUUCCGCAAUGGACGAAAGUCUGACGGAGCAACGCCGCGUGAGUGAUGAAGGCUUUCGGGUCGUAAAACUCUGUUGUUAGGGAAGAACAAGUGCUAGUUGAAUAAGCUGGCACCUUGACGGUACCUAACCAGAAAGCCACGGCUAACUACGUGCCAGCCGCCGCCGUAA
rnacentral:rRNA from 1 species